AUUAAAACUUGUGUUGAUUAAAAGUUUUAUUGUUUUAAAAAGAAAUUUGGGGUUAUUCUUGUUUUCUGUAAUAAGAUUGGAAAAAUGAAGUGUUCUGGCCUGUUUAACUGUUUUAUUGUAGGUUUUGAGUUUAAAUUUAAAUGAAUCCAUC